rnacentral:rRNA from 1 species
UACGAAGGGGGCUAGCGUUGUUCGGAAUCACUGGGCGUAAAGCGCACGUAGGCGGAUCUUUAAGUCAGGGGUGAAAUCCCGAGGCUCAACCUCGGGACUGCCUUUGAUACUGGGGAUCUCGAGUCCGGGAGAGGUGAGUGGAACUGCGAGUGUAGAGGUGAAAUUCGUAGAUAUUCGCAAGAACACCAGUGGCGAAGGCGGCUCACUGGCCCGGAACUGACGCUGAGGUGCGAAAGCGUGGGGAGCAAACAGG